rnacentral:rRNA from 1 species
AGUGAACGCUGGCGGUAGGCCUAACACAUGCAAGUCGAACGGCAGCACAGUAAGAGCUUGCUCUUACGGGUGGCGAGUGGCGGAUGGGUGAGGAAUACAUCGGAAUCUACUUUUUCGUGGGGGAUAACGUAGGGAAACUUACGCUAAUACCGCAUACGACCUACGGGUGAAAGCAGGGGAUCUUCGGACCUUGCGCGAUUGAAUGAGCCGAUGUCGGAUUAGCUAGUUGGCGGGGUAAAGGCCCACCAAGGCGACGAUCCGUAGCUGGUCUGAGAGGAUGAUCAGCCACACUGGAACUGAGACACGGUCCAGACUCCUACGGGAGGCAGCAGUGGGGAAUAUUGGACAAUGGGCGCAAGCCUGAUCCAGCCAUGCCGCGUGGGUGAAGAAGGCCUUCGGAUUGUAAAGCCCUUUUGUUGGGAAAGAAAAGCAGCAAGUUAAUACCCCGCUGUUCUGACGGUACCCAAAGAAUAAGCACCGGCUAACUUCGUG